GGGUUCAUGGUCAUGGACGCGGGCCCCCUAGCUAGCUGACCUGCCACACUACGCGUCAGCACAACGCCCCCCCGCCUGGAUGGUAGCGGAGAGGACACCAUCAUCCCUUAUUACAAGGCUCCGACCUGACAUUCUGUUCAUUCCAAAUCUCCCCGCCCACGAAACCCAUAGGGAAGGGUUCCGCCCGCCCCUGAACAAAGCACGGCUGCCCAUUUAUAUCCUUGAAAUUGGUUACAGCUCCGACGUCCGAAGCGGGAAGAAAAAUCUCAGCAACACCAAGAACUCAAGACUGUUGGAGGCAGCCGGAUGGACGGUCCACUACUCCCCCAAUGAAUGCCUUGCGCUCGGGGUGACUGGGGCCAUUCGUCCCUCGCAACCUCACAGAGCUGCUCACCUCGGCUCACCUCUCAACUUGGGGUGACCCAGCCACACAGCCGCACGAGUCUGCGGAGAGAAGCUCCGCACACACGCUGUGAGCAGCGCGGGCAGCAUUAUCAAAAUGCGCCGAGUAACCGAGCAGGAACUCAAACCGAGGGGUGGGUGAGCCACGGCUCCCCCACGCCUCCUCGGAGUGCGUGGUGAGGCGGCAGCGCGAGGAGGAUGGGCCGGGCCCGCCAGACCCCAUGGGUUGGCGUUGAUUAUUAUUAUUGUCCCUCCUAUAUCUUAAGAAGAAUAAUAUUAGAAACCGGACUUAGCCGCGCGGGCGAUUCCCGGGGCCGAGGGGGGGGGGCGUGAGGGACCCAGCUUUGUUGCGAGCUUUGUUGUGAGGAGCGUGCUCCCUCAACUGCUGCCUCUUUGCCCUUGAUUCUGAAAGCCAUAGUAUCGCCGCAGCGCAGCCCCUGGUUGCAGCAAUCCUCGCUGGCGCGGCUCCAAGACCUUUUCGCGCGCUUCUUGUGUCACCGCCGGCUACGCGGCUAGAAUAAGCAGAAUGGAGCAGCAUCAGCCGGAUCACCCAGUAGCCCAACGCACUUAUCAAAGCCGCGAGGAAGCCAG
rnacentral:lncRNA from 1 species